rnacentral:lncRNA from 1 species
AGCUAGGAUGAGGGUCUUAUCUUUCUCGUCACCUGCUGCUCUCCCUAAGCUUGGCUGUUCUAUAGAUUGACCUUGAGUUCAGAGAUCUGAAUGCCUGUCUCCAGGGAUUAAACGUGUGUACCACCAUGCCUGGAUCUAAAAGUAACUCGGUAGGAUCUUGCCCCAAGGUCCCACUCCCUUAAUCUGGUCUCUUCUAGAACACAGGAUUCAGCUCCACUCUAUUUCCUAGUGCCCGUUUAAUUGAACUCUUGAACCACAUGUUUGCUUUCUUUCCUUUCUCAACUUGCUCCUUUUCAUUAAACUGCUCUUCAUAAGAGAGAACUUUAGUAACCGCACAACAGAAUUUACACCAGGCUUUUUUGAGACUUCCUGUUUCAAAGUAAAUAAUGAAAUUAUUUCACCUUAGUGUUAGGACAGACUCUUUGGACAAUGGCAAAAAGCAGCCACAUUCUUCGCCAAAAUACCACAGAAACAGUGUCUGAGCCUCAUACUGAAAUUUCUUCUCCACUGAAACCUCUUGGGGCCCGUCCUCAUAGUUCAAACCACUCACAGCAGCAUAGUCUUCCAUAUUCCUUCUAGGAUAGCCCAUUAAGCCUCACUUAAAGCAUUCCAUUGCUCUCCAAAUCCAAAGUCCCAGAAUCUACAUUCUUCCAAACAAACACAUGGUCAGGCUUAUCACAGCAAUACCCAACUCCUAGUACCAACCAAUGUCUUAGUUAGGGUUUUACUACUGUGAACAGACACCAUGACCAAGGUACCUCUUAAAAGGAAAACAUAUAAUUGGGGAUGGCUUGUAGGUUCAGAGGAUAAGUCUAUUAUCAUCAAAGUGUGAGCAGGGAAGCAUCUAGGCAGGCAUAUUGUAGGCAGAGCUGAAAGUUCUACAUCUUCAUCUGAAGGCUGCUAGCAGAAGACUGGCUUCCAGGCAGUCUUAAAAGCCACACCCACAGUGACACACCUACUCCAACAGGAUCACACCUACUCCAACAGGGUCACACCAACUCCAACAGAGCC